GACGAACGCUGGCGGCGUGCUUAACACAUGCAAGUCGAACGGAAAGGCCCUGCUUUUGUGGGGUGCUCGAGUGGCGAACGGGUGAGUAACACGUGAGUAACCUGCCCUUGACUUUGGGAUAACUUCAGGAAACUGGGGCUAAUACCGGAUAGGAGCUCCUGCUGCAUGGUGGGGGUUGGAAAGUUUCGGCGGUUGGGGAUGGACUCGCGGCUUAUCAGCUUGUUGGUGGGGUAGUGGCUUACCAAGGCUUUGACGGGUAGCCGGCCUGAGAGGGUGACCGGCCACAUUGGGACUGAGAUACGGCCCAGAAUCCUACGGGAGGCAGCAGUGGGGAAUAUUGCACAAUGGGCGGAAGCCUGAUGCAGCAACGCCGCGUGCGGGAUGACGGCCUUCGGGUUGUAAGCCGCUUUCGCCUGUGACGAAGCGUGAGUGACGGUAAUGGGUAAAGAAGCACCGGCUAACUACGUG
rnacentral:rRNA from 1 species